CCUACGGGGGGCAGCAGUAGGGAAUAUUGCGCAAUGGACGGAAGUCUGACGCAGCGACGCCGCGUGAGCGAUGAAGGUCUUCGGAUCGUAAAGCUCUGUCCUUGGGGAAGAAGGCGAAAGCUUGACGGUACCCAAGAAGAAAGCCCCGGCUAACUACGUGCCAGCAGCCGCGGUAAUACGUAGGGGGCGAGCGUUGUCCGGAAUUACUGGGCGUAAAGGGCGCGUAGGCGGCUUGGUAAGUCAGAUGUGAAAGCCCACGGCUUAACUGUGGAAGUGCAUUUGAAACUGUCAGGCUUGAGUACCAGAGGGGAAAGUGGAAUUCCCGGUGUAGAGGUGAAAUUCGUAGAUAUCGGGAGGAAUACCGGUGGCGAAGGCGACUACCUGGACGAUAACUGACGCUGAGGCACGAAAGCUAGGGGAGCAAACAGGAUUAGAUACCCCUGUAGUCACUC
rnacentral:rRNA from 1 species